AAGUAGACACCCCAGGGUCGGCAGGGCACCUGGGACAAGGUCAAGAAGAAGUCGGCCGGAGCUGUGCUCGAGACACCGGCUUCCUGCAGAACCAAGAGAGUGACCCCGGCCCCAGUGGUGGGGAAGCUCUUCACGGCUGAGACGCCAAACUCGUCCUGCUCCAGUGAGGAGCAGGAUUCCUACUUUUCCAUGUGAUGGACUCUGUGGAUGACUUGUUCAGUACUUCCUACUUUUCCAUCUGAUGGCCUUUGUGGAUGUCUUCUUCAGCACCUCCUGCCUUUCCAUCUGAUGGACUCUGUGGAUGUGUUGUUCAGCACUUGCUGUUCAGAGCACGGGGGUUCUGCUGCCCCUCUGGGAGGGAAUGCUGGAAUGAUUUCAGUUUGGAUAAGCUGCCCUGCUGUGGUUUUAUGUGUUUUAACUCCAUUCCCACCCCGCUGCCAAUGCUUGGCUUAUCCAUGUGUACAAAGUGGCAUUUCCUUGUCCAGGUUCCUCCCCUCCAUGUCCUGCUUCUCCUGGGAAGGAGAAAUGUACAUAGAUACCAACCACUGCCAAGUUUUGAUUCAUUUUAAACUAAAAUAUCUUCUGCGAUAUGGCUGUAUAAUAAAUUUAGCAGUAGUCCAGAAGGAACUGAAAUUGCUUUUUAAUUUACU